CACGUAGGGGGCGAGCGUUGUCCGGAUUUAUUGGGCGUAAAGGGCUCGUAGGCGGCUCAGUAAGUCGGGUGUGAAACCUCCAGGCUCAACCUGGAGACGCCACUCGAUACUGCUGUGGCUAGAGUCCGGUAGGGGAGCAUGGAAUUCCUGGUGUAGCGGUGAAAUGCGCAGAUAUCAGGAGGAACACCGGUGGCGAAGGCGGGUCUCUGGGCCGAUACUGACGCUGAGGAGCGAAAGCGUGGGGAGCAAACAGG
rnacentral:rRNA from 1 species